CAUUACUAUGUGUUCUUUGUUCACUUGUUGAGACAAGCAAAAGGAAAUUGUAUAACAGUACAAGCAAUUUUUUCUCUGAAGGUGGAUCAGACUUUCUUCUCUAUUUUUCCUUGUUUCAGCAGCAUUCUAUAUUUCUUUGAAGCAGAAAUGCUGACAACUAUUCAUUUCUUCAACUGCAAGAGAUUAGGUUAUUUUGUUGGGUAGAGAUGGUAAGCAAACAAGAAAUCCUUUGAGCUAUAUCCUGGUCCUAUUGUUAAAGAUUUAUAAUUUUUUGGUAUAACCAAGAAAUUCCUGAGAAACUGUGGCGCAUGGUUUGAUACUCGGGUUAAUGGACCCACCCUUCUACCCGUCUCCACUUACAUAACAAACUUUUGUCGGCAGGAAGGUUCGAACAUUAUGACCUGCACCAAACCCAUUGCACUUUAACCACUAGACUAAAGCCUUGGGGGCCAUUGUGAAGAAAGGACUUGUAGCAGACAAAGCAUGUGUAAAGUUGGUGUUAAGAAGUUUAAUCUUUACCUUUAUGGAACUAGGAAAUUCUUAAAUUUGCUCAAAUACAGGAGAAUAUGUGUGAAGACAAAUAGAGUUUUGACAAACUUCUCCAACUUAUAUUCUUGGUUAACAAAUGAAAUUAUUCUUGGCAAGUAGCAUUUUAUGCAUC
rnacentral:lncRNA from 1 species